rnacentral:rRNA from 1 species
UACGAAGGGGGCUAGCGUUGCUCGGAAUUACUGGGCGUAAAGGGAGCGUAGGCGGACUGUUUAGUCAGAGGUGAAAGCCCAGGGCUCAACCUUGGAAUUGCCUUUGAUACUGGCAGUCUUGAGUACGGAAGAGGUAUGUGGAACUCCGAGUGUAGAGGUGAAAUUCGUAGAUAUUCGGAAGAACACCAGUGGCGAAGGCGGCUCACUGGCCCGGUACUGACGCUGAUGUGCGAAAGCGUGGGGAGCAAACAGG